GCCGCGCGUCCUGGGGGCGGCGGCCGCCGGGCGGGCGCACCGCUGCUCCCGGGCAGGCUGGCCGGGGGAGGCGGCCCUUGGCCGCUCGCCCCGCCUCUCACUCCCGUUACACCCGGAGGAAGGUGUUCCCGAGACCGCUCCACCCUCACCCCGCCUCCCGGCUCCAGCCUCGGCCGCCCGAGCCCACUAUGCCAGACAGUUUCGACACUUUGCAAAGACAAAGAGCCCUGGAGCGGCAGCCUGAGGAGGAGAGGGCGAAGGAGGAGGCGAUGUGAGCUGCGCCGGGGACGAGGGUUCGGGACGCCACGCCCCUUGCGCUCUCCUCCGACCCCCUCGCGCACCCCAAGCCGGGAAAACUCCAGCGGGUCUGCAGCCGCGGUAAAGAAAUGAGGCUCAGAGAGGUUAAGGAUCUCCUCUGAAGUCACACAGCACUGGUCACUGAUGAGCAGGACGCUCCCCAGGCCGGCCCCGUGACCACCUCAACCCCGGACACAGCGUGCCAGCAGCAGAGCCCUGACAGCACCGUCACGUCACGCUCUCCAGGGAGGGUGACAGAGACAGCUUCCCUCCAGCCUGUGCAAGACCCUUCCUUCUAGGCUGCAGCGCACAGGGAGCCCUCCCCGAGCGCCCGUGGCACCCACGGCUGCGCUCGAAAGCCACAGCUUCCAGGUUGAAUGAAAGUUUUGCCAAGAGACGCU